UACAAAGACAUUAAGGACACCAAUGACUACACUCAUUUGGAUGCGUAUACAUAUAAACAGAGAUCAGGCAGCCUUUUCAAAAUAAAGACAGAUGUUCCCCUUAAAUCUAUGUUCAUGACAUAAAAUGGUGAAUUGAUGAUGAAACGGAUUACACGGAAAAACAAUUUCCGCAGGAAACCAUUCAACCAGUACAGGAGUUACGCAGCGCUGCUUAGUAAGUAAGCAAAGGAAUUGCGAACUUCACUAUUACUGCUACUCGUAGCUUCUAGUUGUCUGGAACUAGUUGCUCGACGACCUUCACAAAGGCAAAAAAUAUAUAUUAUAAUUAUCAGGAAAACUUAACUAACCUAAAACAUUAACUUUUUGUUUGACAUUUAUGGGGCGUUUACCCAACUUUUAUAAACCAC